CCCACUUUGCAAGUUUCUACUGCAGGUUUCAGCUGCUCUUCCCGUGAAGAAAGUCCAGUUUCCGAUGGGAGAUGCAGCCUGCUGUGCCUUUGUUUAGGCAACUUUUUCCUUACCAGUGGUCUUCAAUUCUCAGGAAGCUACCAAGCGGCCUUUUCUCUGCUACUCACCAGUGCACCAAUUCCUAGGUUCAGAAUGCUUGCCUUUUGGAUCCCUGAGCUGACCUGUUGUCUGGGUGUGCUUCUGGCUGGGGCCUAUGUACACUUGGGAUGAUAUCUGGGUGUGCCAUAGUGCAAGACAUGAUUGAUAAAUCUAGAGCAGAC
rnacentral:lncRNA from 1 species